rnacentral:rRNA from 1 species
ACAACUUUUAACAAUGGAUCUCUUGGUUCUGGCAUCGAUGAAGAACGCAGCGAAAUGCGAUAGGUAGUGUGAAUUGCAGAAUUCAGUGAAUCAUCGAAUCUUUGAACGCACAUUGCGCCCCUCGGUAUUCCGUGGGGCAUGCCUGUUCGAGCGUCAUU